rnacentral:misc_RNA from 1 species
GGAUAUCUCGGCUCUCGCAUCGAUGAAGAACGUAGCGAAAUGCGAUACCUGGUGUGAAUUGCAGAAUCCCGCGAACCAUCGAGUCUUUGAACGCAAGUUGCGCCCGAGGCCACUCGGCCGAGGGCACGCCUGCCUGGGCGUCACGCCAAAACACGCUCCCAACCACUCUCAACGGGAAUCGGGAUGCGGCAUCUGGUCCCUCGUCUCUCAAGGGACGGUGGACCGAAGAUUGGGCUGCCGGCGUACCGCGCCGGACACAGCGCAUGGUGGGCGUCCUCGCUUUAUCUAUGUAGUGCAUCCGGCGCGCAGCUGGCAUUAUGGCCUUUGAACGACCCAACAAACGAAGCGCACGUCGCUUCGACCGCGGCCCCUGGUCAGGCGGGACUACCCGCUGAGUUUAAGCAUAUAAAUAAGCGGAGGAGAAGAAACUUACAAGGAUUCCCCUAGUAACGGCGAGCGAACCGGGAGCAGCCCAGCUUGAGAAUCGGGCGGCUGUGCCGUCCGAAUUGUAGUCUGGAGAGGCGUCCUCAGCGACGGACCGGGCCCAAGUCCCCUGGAAAGGGGCGCCUGGGAGGGUGAGAGCCCCGUCCGGCCCGGACCCUCUCGCCCCACGAGGCGCCGUCAACGAGUCGGGUUGUUUGUGAAUGCAGCCCAAAUCGGGCGGUAGACUCCGUCCAAGGCUAAAUACAGGCGAGAGACCGAUAGCGAACAAGUACCGCGAGGGAAAGAUGAAAAGGACUUUGAAAAGAGAGUCAAAGAGUGCUUGAAAUUGCCGGGAGGGAAGCGGAUGGGGGCCGGCGAUGCGCCCCGGCCGUAUGCGGAACGGCUCUUGCUGGUCCGCCGCUCAGCUCGGGGUGUGGACUGUUGUCGGCCGCGCCGGCGGCCAAAGCCCGGGGGCCCUAGGUGCCCCCGGUGGCCGUCGUCGGCACGGCCGGUACCCGCGCGCCGAAAGGCGUGUCCCUCGGGGCACUGCGCUGCAACGGCCUGCGGGCUCCCCAUCCGACCCGUCUUGAAACACGGACCAAGGAGUCUGACAUGCGUGCGAGUCGACGGGUUCUGAAACCUGGGAUGCGCAAGGAAGCUGACGAGCGGGAGGCCCUCACGGGCCGCACCGCUGGCCGACCC